rnacentral:rRNA from 1 species
UACAGAGGCCUCGAGCGUUGUUCGGAAUUACUGGGCGUAAAGGGAAUGUAGGUGGUCACGUAAGUCAGAUGUGAAAGCCCUGGGCUUAACCCGGGAAGUGCAUUUGAUACUGCAUGGCUAGAGUGCAAGAGAGGAAAGUGGAAUUUCCAGUGUAGGGGUGAAAUCCGUAGAUAUUGGAAGGAAUACCGAUGGCGAAGGCAGCUUUCUGGCUUGUAACUGACACAUGAGAUUUCGGAA